rnacentral:lncRNA from 1 species
GUGUUUAUGAGGUGUGACUGUGUGUUUACGAGGAGUGACUGUGUGUUUAUGAGGAGUGACUGUGUGUUUAUGAGGAGUGACUGUGUGUGUUUAUGAGGUGUGACUGUGUGUGUUUAUGAGGAGUGACUGUGUGUGUUUAUGAGGUGUGACUGUGUGUGUUUAUGAGGUGUGACUGUGUGUGUUUGAGGUGUGACUGUGUGUGUUUGAGGUGUGACUGUGUGUGUUUGAGGUGUGACUGUGUGUGUUUAUGAGGUGUGACUGUGUGUGUUUAUGAGGAGUGACUGUGUGUGUUUAUGAGGAGUGACUGUGUGUGUUUAUGAGGAGUGACUGUGUGUUUAUGAGGAGUGACUGUGUGUGUUUAUGAGGUGUGACUGUGUGUGUUUAUGAGGUGUGACUGUGUGUGUUUAUGAGGUGUGACUGUGUGUUUAUGAGGUGUGACUGUGUGUGUUUAUGAGGUGUGACUGUGUGUUUAUGAGGUGUGUCUGUGUGUGUUUGAGGUGUGACUGUGUGUGUUUGAGGUGUGACUGUGUGUGUUUA